rnacentral:rRNA from 1 species
UUACCGAGUUAUACAACUCCCAAACCCCUGUGAACUUACCUAUAACGUUGCUUCGGCGGGAAACCGACGGCCCCGUAAGACGGGCCGCCCCCGCCAGAGGACCCCCUAACUCUUGUUAUAUCCUGUUUCUCUGAGUACAACAAGCAAAUAAAUUAAAACUUUCAACAACGGAUCUCUUGGCUCUGGCAUCGAUGAAGAACGCAGCGAAACGCGAUAAGUAAUGUGAAUUGCAGAAUUUAGUGAAUCAUCGAAUCUUUGAACGCACAUUGCGCCCGCCAGUAUUCUGGCGGGCAUGCCUGUCCGAGCGUCAUUACAACCCUCAGGCCCCCGGGCCUGGUGUUGGGGAUCGGCGGAGCCCUCCGGGGCACACGCCGUCCCCCAAAUUCAGUGGCGGUCUCGCUGCAGCCUCCAUUGCGUAGUAGCUAACACCUCGCAACUGGAAGGCGGCGCGGCCACGCCGUAAAACCCCCCAACUUCUGAAUGUUGACCUCGGAUCAGGUAGGAAUACCCGCUGAACUUAAGCAUAUCAAUAAGCGGAGGAAAAGAAACCAACAGGGAUUGCCUCAGUAACGGCGAGUGAAGCGGCAACAGCUCAAAUUUGAAAUCUGGCUCUCGGGCCCGAGUUGUAAUUUGUAGAGGAUGCUUUUGGUGCGGUGCCUUCCGAGUUCCCUGGAACGGGACGCCAUAGAGGGUGAGAGCCCCGUCUGGUUGGAUGCCAAUCCUCUGUAAAGCUCCUUCGACGAGUCGAGUAGUUUGGGAAUGCUGCUCUAAAUGGGAGGUAUAUGUCUUCUAAAGCUAAAUACCGGCCAGAGACCGAUAGCGCACAAGUAGAGUGAUCGAAAGAUGAAAAGAACUUUGAAAAGAGAGUUAAAAAGUACGUGAAAUUGUUGAAAGGGAAGCGCUUGUGACCAGACUUGGGCUUGGUUGAUCAUCCAGGGUUCUCCCUGGUGCACUCUUCCGGCCCAGGCCAGCAUCAGUUUGCCCCGGGGGAUAAAGGCGUCGGGAAUGUGGCUCCCUCCGGGGAGUGUUAUAGCCCGGCGCGCAAUACCCUGAGGCGGACUGAGGUUCGCGCAUCGCAAGGA